GAUGAAGAACGUAGCGAAAUGCGACAAGUAAUGUGAAUUGCAGAAUUCAGUGAAUCAUCGAAUCUUUGAACGCACCUUGCACCCUUUGGCAUUCUGAAGGGUAUGCUCGUUUGAGUGUCAUUGUACUCUCACACUCCCGAUCUUUGCAUUGGGAGCAGUGGACUUGGGUUUGCUGCUUCACCGUCGCUUACCUCAAAUAGGUUAGUGCAACUCUUGGUUGGACAUAGUACGGCGUGAUAAGUGUUCUUCGCCGGUGCCUCGCAAAGAGGGUGGCCGAUCGGGAUGUUGUGCUCCAAACCGUCUUCGGACAAUCUCUGACGACUUGACCUCAAAUCGAGUAAGACUACCCGCUGAACUUAAGCAUAUCAAUAAGCGGAGGA
rnacentral:misc_RNA from 1 species